UACGUAGGGUGCAAGCGUUGUCCGGAAUUAUUGGGCGUAAAGAGCUCGUAGGCGGUUUGUCGCGUCGAAUGUGAAAACCCGAGGCUCAACCCCGGGCGUGCAGUGGAUACGGGCUGGCUAGAGGCAGGCAGGGGAGAACGGAAUUCCCGGUGUAGCGGUGAAAUGCGCAGAUAUCGGGAGGAACACCGGUGGCGAAGGCGGUUCUCUGGGCCUGUACUGACGCUGAGGAGCGAAAGCGUGGGGAGCGAACAGG
rnacentral:rRNA from 1 species